rnacentral:rRNA from 1 species
GACGAACGCUGGCGGCGUGCUUAACACAUGCAAGUCGAACGGAACUCUUUGGAUCGAGACUUCGGUCAAGUGAAUCUGAGUUUAGUGGCGGACGGGUGAGUAACGCGUGAGGAACCUGCCUUUCAGAGGGGGACAACAGUUGGAAACGACUGCUAAUACCGCAUAACGCAUAUUGAUCGCAUGGUCGAUAUGCCAAAGAUUUAUCGCUGAAAGAUGGCCUCGCGUCUGAUUAGCUAGUUGGUGAGGUAACGGCCCACCAAGGCGACGAUCAGUAGCCGGACUGAGAGGUUGACCGGCCACAUUGGGACUGAGAUACGGCCCAGACUCCUACGGGAGGCAGCAGUGGGGAAUAUUGGGCAAUGGGCGCAAGCCUGACCCAGCAACGCCGCGUGAAGGAAGAAGGCUUUCGGGUUGUAAACUUCUUUGUCAGGGAAGAGUAGAAGACUGUACCUGGCGAAUAAGCCACGGCUAACUACGUGCCAGCAGCCG